AAAGCUUAAAGAGAGAUGUCUGGGGCAAAGGGAAUAGAAUAAACAGAGGCAUGGAACAAGAAGCAGAAGGUGGCCUGUCUUAGGCCAGUGAGCAGCCAGCACGUGUGACAGGCUUGGGCUGAAGCAGGCAUGGAAAAGAGACAGGGAGAUUCUAAUGAAGUCAUCAGAGGUCAUGGGCUGGCAGGAACAAUAGCUAAGGUGUCUCGUUGUCUCAUCCUCUCUGGUGUUUCUGGACCUGUGAUGGCUGGCUGGCCCAGCUCUGCCUCUGGUUGGACAGUCACCACCUUCGAAGGGAACUUCUCUUAAGGCAACAAUGAUGGACAUUGCAGUUGGUCUGGUUCGAGGUCUCUGCCUUCUGUGACACCAUCAAUAUUGGAUCCUCACCAGACUUCUCCUGCUUAUCCUGUUGUUGUUCUAUGUCAUGGAGAUCCUGCAUCUUUGGAUCAGCAGGACUGGCCCAUUCAUGAAUCUCAACCAUUUGCAGGUGAUAUAGAUUUGGGGAUGGGCCAACUCAGAACUCUCCAUCUGGGCCUCCGUGGUAGCUGAGCUCUAGUUAGCACUACCAGGGUGAGCCUUCCAGCACAACUCCAGCUAGACCACCCAGUGCCACCAUUGGCAGGAGACAGGGGGUGCUCUCCUGCCCUCAGGAUAACUCACUCACUUGUACAACUCCAGAGCCAGCACCAUGCUACCCAGUCAAAGCACAGGGUCCACUUUCCCAAGUGCUACAGCCUUUGAGGGACUGGGCCAACUCUCCUUGGAGCCGACUCACUCGUGCUUUCUCCACUAGGGCCAGCCCUACUAUGCUGCCCAGGCAAGGUGCAGGGCCCCCUCUCUCCCAAGUGCUGCAAUCUGGUGAGGGGCAGGGCUAACUCACCCACUCUCAUGACCCCAGGAUCAGCUCUCCUGACUGCCUCCAGUGGUGAGGGGGCAAAUGAAGGGUAUCCCCCCUCCCACUCCCACCCGAUCCAGGCCACCUCAAGGCAGAAGAGUGGCAGGGUCAGCUCUCCCUAGCCUCUGGUUGGCUUGUCCACACCCCUGCCACCAGGGCCAGCUCCACUGUAGUGCCUGGUGAGCUGCAGGGCCUGCUCUCCUGACUGCUGCUGCUGGUGAGAGGUGGGGUCAGCUCUCCAGAGCACAGCAGCCAAUGAGGGACAGGACCAGUUCAGCACAGUCCCUGGACAUGUACAUGGUCCCUGGUGGCUGCCCAGAUCAGGGAUGUCCCCACGUUCUCUAAUGAUAAUAUGACCCAUGACCAUUGCCACUGACCUUUGCCACUGAAUAGCCAUGGACCUAGACAUGGCCCCUCAGGUGGUAGCUUUGACUGGGACCUCACCAUGGCCCCAGGUGGAGGGCCAGUCAUUCACAACAGGCUACUCCUCUCCACCCUGAGUCUCCAGUUCCAUCUCUCUUCACAAUGCUUAAGCUGUUCCACUUCUUUUUCUCUCCCAUCUGUCCACCAUGUACUUGCACAUGUGGUUGCUCCCACUGCAGGAUGGCCACAUGGCUGGCAGACCCCUGAGUGACAUCUUCUGUCUGCACCAUGUGUCCUAGAGGCAAGCAGGUAUCUACUGCCCACCUGUAGGUGCACAGGGGGACAAGUCUGUGGGUCUCAUGGUGGUCCAGAGGUCCCUGUCUGUCUUCCUCCUCCCUAGUUGCGGGGCUCUGUGUAUCUAUGGCCCAACUAUGCCAUGGGGCAGAAGGCAGGUCUGGGGGCAUCUUUCCCUACCUGCAGCACCUGACAUAACAGACAUAGGUCUCUAUCUGUCUUCCUCCUUCCUCAGUGCACUGCCUGGA